rnacentral:rRNA from 1 species
AUUGAACGCUGGCGGCAUGCCUUACACAUGCAAGUCGAACGGCAGCACGGGGCAACCUGGUGGCGAGUGGCGAACGGGUGAGUAAUGCAUCGGAACGUACCUUUCAGUGGGGGAUAACGUCGCGAAAGUUACGCUAAUACCGCAUAUUCUGUGAGCAGGAAAGCAGGGGAUCGCAAGACCUUGCGCUGAUUUAGCGGCCGAUGUCAGAUUUAGCUAGUUGGUGAGGUAAAGGCUCACCAAGGCGACGAUCUGUAGCGGGCCUGAGAGGAUGAUAAGCGACACUGGAACUGGGAUACGGUGCAGGCUCCUACGGGAGGAAGCAGUGGGAAAUUUUGGACAAGGGGGGCAACGCUGAUCCAGCCAUGCCGCGUGAGUGAAGAAGGCGUUAGGGUUGUAAAGCUCUUUCGGCCGGGAAGAAAUCGCACGGGCUAAUACCCUGUGUGGAUGAAGGUACCGGAAGAAGAAGCACCGGCUAACUACGUGCCAGCCGCCGCGGUAAAAC